rnacentral:rRNA from 1 species
GAUGAACGCUGGCGGCGUGCCUAAUACAUGCAAGUCGAGCGAACGGACGAGAAGCUUGCUUCUCUGAUGUUAGCGGCGGACGGGUGAGUAACACGUGGAUAACCUACCUAUAAGACUGGGAUAACUUCGGGAAACCGGAGCUAAUACCGGAUAAUAUUUUGAACCGCAUGGUUCAAAAGUGAAAGACGGUCUUGCUGUCACUUAUAGAUGGAUCCGCGCUGCAUUAGCUAGUUGGUAAGGUAACGGCUUACCAAGGCAACGAUGCAUAGCCGACCUGAGAGGGGGAGGGCCACACCGGGAAAGGAGACCGGUCCCAGCCCCCGCGGGGGGGCACAAGGGGGGAUUCUUCCAGAAGGGGCAAAGCCCGGAGGGCCAACCGCCGGGGGGGGGAUAAUGGUCUUGGUAUCAAAAACCUUUUUUAUAGGGAAAAAAAAUAUGGUAAAGAAACUGUGCACAUCUGACCGGACCCUAACAAGAAGCCCCGGACAACCUCGGCC